rnacentral:rRNA from 1 species
AUUGAACGCUGGCGGCAGGCCUAACACAUGCAAGUCGAACGGUAACAGGAAGAAGCUUGCUUCUUUGCUGACGAGUGGCGGACGGGUGAGUAAUGUCUGGGAAACUGCCUGAUGGAGGGGGAUAACUACUGGAAACGGUAGCUAAUACCGCAUAAUGUCGCAAGACCAAAGAGGGGGACCUUCGGGCCUCUUGCCAUCGGAUGUGCCCAGAUGGGAUUAGCUAGUAGGUGGGGUAACGGCUCACCUAGGCGACGAUCCCUAGCUGGUCUGAGAGGAUGACCAGCCACACUGGAACUGAGACACGGUCCAGACUCCUACGGGAGGCAGCAGUGGGGAAUAUUGCACAAUGGGCGCAAGCCUGAUGCAGCUAUGCCGCGUGUAUGAAGAAGGCCUUGGGGUUGUAAAGUACUUUCAGCGGGGAGGAAGGGAGUAAAGUUAAUACCUUUGCUCAUUGACGUUACCCGCAGAAGAAGCACCGGCUAACUCCGUG